UUUAGAAAUUAAACCGUAGACAGCGGGUGCGAAAGCUUAAUUUCCCGCCGAGGUACAAUAUAAAAUAUUGACCUUACACGUUUUACGGAGAACAUAACAGCUGAAACGGGUAAGGUUUUUUUAUG
rnacentral:sRNA from 1 species